rnacentral:rRNA from 1 species
CAGCCGCCACGGUAAUACGAAGGGUGCAAGCGUUACUCGGAAUUACUGGGCGUAAAGCGUGCGUAGGUGGUGUUUUAAGUCCGUUGUGAAAGCCCUGGGCUCAACCUGGGAAUUGCAGUGGAUACUGGGUCACUAGAGUGUGGUAGAGGAUAGUGGAAUUUCCGGUGUAGCAGUGAAAUGCGUAGAGAUCGGAAGGAACAUCUGUGGCGAAGGCGACUAUCUGGGCCAACACUGACACUGAGGCACGAAAGCGUGGGGAGCAAACAGGAUUAGAGACCCCCGUAGUCCCUGUCUCUUAUAC